CGGACCCUGAAUUUGUGCUUCUGGAGGAUCUGAAAGACAAAACAUUGACCCAUGAGUAUACAGGGAACUCUGUACCUAAAAUACAAGUUGCUAAUGGUGGCAUACAGUAUAAACACUAGUGCUCAGUAGCUCUCUAGGUAUACAUGGUGAACUUCGCUUGCGAACCAUCUUGCUGGUUUUAACAAUGGUGAAAGAUGAAGAAACCUGAUCAAGGGUGUAUGUAGCUGGUUUCUCUCUGUACCAGAAUGAGGAACCAGGAGGUCAGGCAUCUGUUGAACUGAACCUUCUGACCUGAAAUACUAUGAAAUCCAAAAUACUUCAGCUAAAUUAGACCCUUAUAUUUUGUGUUUGGUAGUAUUUCUUCUGGCUUGUCAUUCUUCUAUUGUUACUUUAUUUUUUUAGUGUUAUAUCUUAAGCCUGUUUAAACCAUGUUUCUGCUCAGGGUAUAUGUAAUACCCGUAUGGGCAACUUAAAGCUGAUAUUCUUUCAGCAGGAAAAUAUCAUACCAGCAGAGCUAAGGAUUUAGGUAGAGCCUUCUUGUACAUGCAGUUAUGCUUUCCCCCACCUUCAAAAAAGCCAUUGUUACUUUGGAAUCCACAUUUAUAAAAUUUUUCUUUACACUGAUCCUUCAAGCUUUUUCUGGUGCAUCUGUUCUAUUGCCCUGCAGCACUUUCAGUAAUACCUGAACUUGGAAACACCUUAAUAAAACAGAGGUAAAUACAAAGAGAACACUGAACAUUAAAAGACCCAAUCAUUCUACAUGUGAAUG